rnacentral:pre_miRNA from 1 species
UAACCUCCACAGGCUGGCGGGUCCCCAGGCUGGGCUGGGCCAGUACCUCCUUAAAAGGCUCACCCUUAAGCACCACUAGGAGC